CGGUGGCAUCGCGGGCUUCCGAGUGGGUCUGUUCCCUUCUCCCCCGUUUGCCAGUGUUUGCGUGUGCAGGAGACAAAGGGAGAUGCCUGGUGAAUUGGGGCAGGUGGGCAGCUCUCUGGGACCCACUGAGCCCCUUCUCUUUUCCCACAGGCCCGGCCUUGGCACGAGUCUGGAUGCUGGUGAUCAACCCACUGAAGCUGCACUUUGUGUUGGGAGGCUUCGCUCAAUUUUGCAGGGCGGGCGCUGGAGCCCAGAGGGGCCGGGGACCUCCCCACGGUCACGGAGCCUCCCUCAGCAAGCUUGGACUGAGCUUUGGAGAGGAGGUGCUGUGUCCUGAGCCGCUCCGCCAGCAAGAACCCGCCGCCCGAGUCUGAGUUAUAAGCUGGGCAUUGCUGACUUGAAGGGCUGUUGAGAUUUUCGCAGACUGCUGAGGCCACAGGAAGUCUUGGUCCCUGACUUAAUUAAUUGUGCCGGGCUACAGGGAACUAGAAAAAUGUGCUCCUAGAGAGAGCAGACAGGCUGUUCCCCUCUACCACCGCAGGCUAGCAGCGUGCACACACACAGCAUGCUGCAUGCUUGGUUUCCAAACCACGGCCUUCCAAACUGGGUUCUUUCCGGGUGCCGAUGCCAACUGUCCUGUUGACAGAGGUGAUGCUGACGUGUGUGCACAGGGUGCAGUUCAGAUAUAGCUCUAUUUACCUCUCUUACUAGUCUAAGGGAUUAGGGCCCCUGCUGUGUUCGUUGUUUAGAGCCCGUCUAGCAUCUAGUUCAUUUUGCAGCAUACAGUAGGCACAUUACAAACGCAUGUGUACUUGAGGGGCACCUGGGCGGCUCAGUCGGUUGGGUGUCCGACUUCAGCUCAUGUCAUGAUCUCUUGGUCCACAGGUUUGAGCCCCACGUCGGGCUCGGUGUUGACAGCUCAGAGCCUGGAGCCUGCUUCCGAUUCUGUCUCCCUCUCUCUCUCUGUCCUUCCCCUGCUCGUGCUCUGUCUCUCUCUUGGAAAUGAAUAAAUAUUAAAAAAAAUUUUUUUAAAAC
rnacentral:lncRNA from 1 species